rnacentral:piRNA from 1 species
UCCUGGCUAAUGCACCAAAUGUUGGAG